UACGUAGGGUGCGAGCGUUAAUCGGAAUUACUGGGCGUAAAGCGUGCGCAGGCGGUUUUGUAAGUCAGAAUGUGAAAUCCCCGGGCUUAACCUGGGAACUGCGUUUGAAACUACAAGGCUAGAGUGUGGCAGAGGGGGGUGGAAUUCCACGUGUAGCGGUGAAAUGCGUAGAGAUGUGGAGGAACACCGAUGGCGAAGGCAGCCUUCUGGGCCAACACUGACGCUCAUGCACGAAAGCGUGGGGAGCAAACAGG
rnacentral:rRNA from 1 species